GAGCUAGAAAUUCAUCAUCCGUUUCAUUUUUUUCAGAUAACACAUUGAAGCGCAAAACAAAACUGUCAAGUAAAAAAAGAAAGAUAACACAUUGAAGCUCAAAACAAAACUGUCAAGUAAAAAAAGAAAGAUAACACAUUGAAGCUCAAAACAAAACUGUCAAGUAAAAAAAGAAAGAUAACACAUUGAAGCUCAAAACAAAACUGUCAAGUAAAAAAAGAAAGAUAACACAUUGAAGCUCAAAACAAAACUGUCAAGUAAAAAAAGAAAGAUAACACAUUGAAGCUCAAACUAAAACUGUCAAGUAAAAAAAGAAAG